AAAGCCCUUUCUAAUACAGAGGGCUCAUGACGGUACCGUAAGAAUAAGCACCGGCUAACUGUGCCAGCAGCCGCAGUAAUACGUAGGGUGCAAGCGUUAAUCGGAAUUACUGGGCGUAGCGUGCGCAGGCGGUUAUGUAAGACAGAUGUGAAAUCCCCGGGCUCAACCUGGGAACUAUUAGUGACUGCAUAGCUGGAGUACGGCAGAGGGGGAUGGAAUUCCGCGUGUAGCAGUAAUGCGUAGAUAUGCGGAGGAACACCGAUGGCGAAGGCAAUCCCCUGGGCCUGUACUGGCUCAUGCACGAAAGCGUGGGGAGCAAACAGGAUUAGAUACCCUGGUAGUCCACGCCCAACGAUGUCAACUGGUUGUUGGGUCUUCACUGACUCAGUAACGAAGCUAACGCGUGAA
rnacentral:rRNA from 1 species